rnacentral:rRNA from 1 species
CGCGUAGGCGGUUUUUUAAGUCAGAUGUGUAAUCCCCGAGCUUAACUCGGGAACUGCAUCUGAGACUGGAAGGCUAGAGUACUGGAGAGGGUGGUGGAAUUCCUCGUGUAGCGGUGAAAUGCGUAGAGAUGAGGAGGAACACCAGUGGCGAAGGCGGCCACCUGGACAGUAACUGACGCUGAGGCGCGAAAGUGUGGGUAGCAAACAGGAUUAGAUACCCUGGUAGUCCACGCUGUAAACGAUGAACACUUGGUGUGGAGGGAGUUGACCCCUUCCGUGCCGGAGCUAACGCGUUAAGUGUUCCGCCUGGGGAGUACGGUCGCAAGGCUGAA